rnacentral:tRNA from 1 species
UAAGUUUCAGUGUAAGAAGCACAUAAAAUUUUGAUUUUUAAAGAGAAAAUUCAAACUAUUUAAAUAA